GAUGAACGCUGGCGGCGUGCUUAACACAUGCAAGUCGAACGAAGCAUUUAAGACAGAUUACUUCGGUUUGAAGUCUUUAUGACUGAGUGGCGGACGGGUGAGUAACGCGUGGGUAACCUGCCUCAUACAGGGGGAUAGCAGCUGGAAACGGCUGGUAAUACCGCAUAAGCGCACGGUAUCGCAUGAUACAGUGUGAAAAACUCCGGUGGUAUGAGAUGGACCCGCGUCUGAUUAGCUGGUUGGUGAGGUAACGGCCCACCAAGGCGACGAUCAGUAGCCGACCUGAGAGGGUGACCGGCCACAUUGGGACUGAGACACGGCCCAGACUCCUACGGGAGGCAGCAGUGGGGAAUAUUGCACAAUGGAGGAAACUCUGAUGCAGCGACGCCGCGUGAGUGAAGAAGUAGUCGGUAUGUAAAACUCUAUCAGCAGGAAGAUAAUGACGGUACCUGACUAAGAAGCACCGGCUAAAUAC
rnacentral:rRNA from 1 species